GGAAGUAAAGUCGUAACAAGGUUUCCGUAGGUGAACCUGCGGAAGGAUCAUUACUGAGUGAGGGCCCCUCGGGGUCCAACCUCCCACCCGUGUUUAACGAACCUUGUUGCUUCGGCGGGCCCGCCUCACGGCCGCCGGGGGGCAUCUGCCCCCGGGCCCGCGCCCGCCGAAGCCACCUGUGAACGCUGUCUGAAGUAUGCAGUCUGAGACAAUUAUUAAAUUAAUUAAAACUUUCAACAACGGAUCUCUUGGUUCCG
rnacentral:misc_RNA from 1 species